AGAAACUUAGRAUAACCAUAGAUCAAACCAAAGGCCUUCAAAGCCUUAAAUAAGAGUUAAAACCUCUUAGUUUYUG
rnacentral:tRNA from 1 species